GUAUGUGCCCGCCCCCCCCGCCCCAAGAAAAGACCCUGGGCUCCAGGGGUUCAGGACUUGAGACAAUGAAGAAGCCACAUAAGGUCCAGACCUCUUCCUGAGUUUUGGGUUCCAGGCUCCUGUGCAUCCCCUCUCCUUGAUCCUGGGUUCAGCUGUUGCUGUUUAGGGAUCUUGAACUCUGAAGGCAGGAAAGGGUGAGGAGUUAUUCAGGUCCACCUGGUCUUCCUCCAGGUGGGUAGACUCAGAUAGACCUCCCAGGAGGUUGGAUAUAAAAGCCCCCUAAUAAAAUAGGUAAACUCAAAGAUGAAGAAGAACGAGCAAGGGAAAAAUGCAGCCUUUAAGACCUGACUGUAUCCCUCCUGAGGGUCUGCAUGAGCUGUCCCUUCUGUCUGCAGUCUUUUCCUUCAGGUCUUCGUCUGCUGGCUGGACCCCUCAGCAGGGUCCAGGUUUAGCCCACAUGAACUCGAUCACACCUGUCUGGUUCCCCACAAGUUUCUGGAGGGAUGCCUGACACAUCAUAGCCCCUCAGAAAAUUAAUUCUCAGCUCAUAGGGCUUCCCUGGUGGCUCAGAUAGUAAACAAUUCACCUGCAAAGAGGAGACCUCGGUUCCAUCCCUGGGUCAGGAAGAUCCCCUGGAGAAGGGAAUGGCAACCCACUCCAGUAUUCUUGCCUGGAGACUCCCAUGGACAGAGGAGCCUAGAGGGCUACAGUCCACGGGGUCACAAAAGAGUCAGACACGACUGAGAGGCUGACACUAACACGUCUCGGCUUACAAAGCUCUUCAGAAAUGUGAUUAACUGGAUGCUCAGAGCCAAAAGGCAUAAUUAGUUGCACCUUAGGGUUGACGAAGUGGAAGCCAGAGACAGCGAGUGAUUUUCUCAAAGCCUCAGAGCUAGAAAGAG
ensembl:lncRNA